CCUACGGGAUGCAGCAGUCGAGAAUCAUUCACAAUGGGGGAAACCCUGAUGGUGCGACGCCGCGUGGGGGAAUGAAGGUCUUCGGAUUGUAAACCCCUGUCAUGUGGGAGCAAAUUAAAAAGAUAGUACCACAAGAGGAAGAGACGGCUAACUCUGUGCCAGCAGCCGCGGUAAUACAGAGGUCUCAAGCGUUGUUCGGAAUCACUGGGCGUAAAGCGUGCGUAGGCUGUUUCGUAAGUCGUGUGUGAAAGGCGCGGGCUCAACCCGCGGACGGCACAUGAUACUGCGAGACUAGAGUAAGGGAGGGGGAACCGGAAUUCUCGGUGUAGCAGUGAAAUGCGUAGAUAUCGAGAGGAACACUCGUGGCGAAGGCGGGUUCCUGGACAUUAACUGACGCUGAGGCACGAAGGCCAGGGGAGCGAAAGGGAUUAGAUACCCCUGUAGUC
rnacentral:rRNA from 1 species